rnacentral:rRNA from 1 species
AGUGAACGCUGGCGGUAGGCCUAACACAUGCAAGUCGAACGGCAGCACAGUAAGAGCUUGCUCUUACGGGUGGCGAGUGGCGGACGGGUGAGGAAUACAUCGGAAUCUACUUUUUCGUGGGGGAUAACGUAGGGAAACUUCCGCUAAUACCGCAUACGACCUACGGGUGAAAGCAGGGGAUCUUCGGACCUUGCGCGAUUGAAUGAGCCGAUGUCGGAUUAGCUAGUUGGCGGGGUAAAGGCCCACCAAGGCGACGAUCCGUAGCUGGUCUGAGAGGAUGAUCAGCCACACUGGAACUGAGACACGGUCCAGACUCCUACGGGAGGCAGCAGUGGGGAAUAUUCGACAAUGGGCGCAAGCCUGAUCCAGCCAUGCCGCGUGGGUGAAGAAGGCCUUCGGGUUGUAAAGCCCUGUUGUUGGGAAAGAAAAGCAGCAGGUUAAUACCCCGCUGUUCUGACGGUACCCAAAGAAUAAGCACCGGCUAACUUCGUG